rnacentral:lncRNA from 1 species
UCUCUUCGGUGUAGGGGCCCUCAUCUAGAUCACACGGGCAUAGGCCUUCCUUGCAAAUGAGCUCUCGCCUCUAGCCACGGAUACUCUUGCGAUGGUAUAGAUGACUCCGAUGAUGGGUCUGUUGUCAAGCAGAGGUUUGGGCAUGAAUUGGAGUUCGCAGCCUGAGACCUCGGUAUCCCUAAAAUGGUUAACAAAGUCCCAUGGAUAGCCUUGUCGAAUGAGGACUUUUAUUUCCUUCUUUAGUUGAAAAUAGUCCUUGAUAUCAUGACCAUAGGCAAUAC